UACGUAGGGAGCAAGCGUUGUCCGGAAUCAUUGGGCGUAAAGAGCGCGUAGGCGGUCCGGUAAGUCGGUUGUGAAAGUCGGGGGCUCAACCCUCGGAUGCCGAUCGAUACUGCCGGGCUAGAGUCCGGAAGAGGCGAGUGGAAUUCCUGGUGUAGCGGUGAAAUGCGCAGAUAUCAGGAGGAACACCAAUGGCGAAGGCAGCUCGCUGGGACGGUACUGACGCUGAGGCGCGAAAGCGUGGGGAGCAAACAGG
rnacentral:rRNA from 1 species